rnacentral:lncRNA from 1 species
CAAAUACCCUAUGCUAUGGAGAACACGGAGUGAAAUAAUGGCACAUAGACAAAGUAUUGAUACCAAUUGUUUCUAAAUAUUUCCAACUUAAUGUUUCUAAAAUCAGGGUGAAUUUUAGUGUUUCUAAAAUUAGGGCAAAUGAUAACUGAAAGCUAAUAGUGGGUAUCUGUAGGGAGUGAAAUUCUAAUUUCUUUCUUGCCUUUUUCUGAUUUUAAUUUUUUUCUACAAAGAGCAUAUAUUUCUUUUUAAAAAAGCUCUUCCUCCCUCCUAUGGAGAAUAUAUUUCUUUUAUAAAUAAUCCAGGGAUCAUGAUCAUACAGUACUAGGUACUUUAAAAAAAAUGUAUAACUAAUAAUAAAAGUAAAAUGAGCAGAGAACACUCUGCUUUUCAUUUUGGAAGCAGUAAAGCAAGAUACACAUAUAAAUUUACUAAAAUAAGUAGAAAUGAAUUUUCCUUCUUAUUCCAUAGUUUAGACAGUAAGAGAAAAAUCUUCAUUUUCACCUGGCAAGGCGGUCUGGUGUCAGAGGACCUAGAGUGUGAAUGGAAAGUAUCCUAGUAAGAUAAUUUAUGUAGAAUGUAUUAUAUAUGGAUAUCAGCAUGAUGUACUUCUGUUAGGUCCUUUAAUGCCCAUAACACCUCUUCAAGGUAUAUACUAUUAUUUAUACCCAUUUUGCAGAUAAGAAAACUGAGGUACAGAAAGUUACCACACAAAUGCACGAAUAUGUAUAUAUAAGGCUUUUCAGGCAGUGGGGUUUGCUUUUUAAAAGACUAGAAAUAACCUAAAUACCUAUUAUUAGAGGACUACUUUAAUAAAUUAAGGCAUAUCCUCAUCAUAGGGCCAUUUAAAAGAAUAGGAUAAAGCUAUUUGUGCUGAUACAGAAAAAUUUCUAAGAAACAAAAUAUGGUUAAGUUAAAAAUAAUAAUAACCAAGAUGUAUAUAGUAUGUUCCUAAUUGAUUCUUAAAGGUUGCUAUAUAAACAAUAUUGAAGUUUGAUUACGUAGAGAAUGUUUGUGGAAGGGUGCUAGCAAGUAAUUAGUAGUGGUUGCCUCUGAAGGGGAGACAGAGAGAACUAGGGAUGUGAAAUGAGAAGGAAAUUCAUUUUUCAUUGUAUAUCUUUUUUGUAAUUUACACUUUUUACCAUAUACAAAUAAGAGUUAUUCAGACUUUACAAACUACAUUUUUAAAAUUGUCAACUAAUGCAAUUUUUUAUCCCAAGAUAUCUCUUCAACCUUAAGAAUUAGUAAAAAACAUACUUAAAAGUGUUUUCAAACACCCAAGUUAUCAUGUUUGUAUUUACCUAUAAGAUAGCUCUUUAAAAAGACUAGCCUUCCUAACCCUUGCCAGGAUAUUGAAUCAUUUCUGACUCACAAGAGAAAAUAGCCAAAUGAGUAACAAGCCUGAUGCCAUUUGAUAAGUGGGAGCUCAGGACAAAGAGUGUGGGUAGGGAGUGAAAUGAAGGGGGCCCAGGGGAAAGUACCAAAGAGGUAGGUCCCAGUACUGCUAAGAUCCCUGCAGUAAUGGGACCUUCCUCUUUGGUUAAUGUGUGAGUUGUAAGAUGUAAAGAACAGCCUUCCUAUCAUUUAAAUAGGUUUUUUUUUUUUUAACUUUAUUUUAAGUGCACGGGUACAUAUACAGGUUUGUUACAUAGGUAAACUUGUAUCAUGGGGUUUUGUUGUACAGAUUAUUUCAUCUCCCAGGUAUUAAGUCUAGA